rnacentral:rRNA from 1 species
AUUGAACGCUGGCGGCAGGCCUAACACAUGCAAGUCGAGCGGAUGACGGGAGCUUGCUCCUUGAUUCAGCGGCGGACGGGUGAGUAAUGCCUAGGAAUCUGCCUGGUAGUGGGGGACAACGUUUCGAAAGGAACGCUAAUACCGCAUACGUCCUACGGGAGAAAGCAGGGGACCUUCGGGCCUUGCGCUAUCAGAUGAGCCUAGGUGGGAUUAGCUAGUUGGUGGGGUAAUGGCUCGCCAAGGCGACGAUCCGUAACUGGUCUGAGAGGAUGAUCAGUCACACUGGAACUGAGACACGGUCCAGACUCCUACGGGAGGCAGCAGUGGGGAAUAUUGGACAAUGGGCGAAAGCCUGAUCCAGCCAUGCCGCGUGUGUGAAGAAGGUCUUCGGAUUGUAAAGCACUUUAAGUUGGGAGGAAGGGCAGUAAGUUAAUACCUUGCUGUUUUGACGUUACCGACAGAAUAAGCACCGGCUAACUCUGUGCCAGCCGCCGCGGUAAUAC